ensembl:lncRNA
GUUGUCUUUAUUGCAGUGGCAAGGUUGAGUUUGAGUGUGGCUUUUGCAUUUCUAAUUUUCUCCCUAUAUAUCUUAGCAACUUUUUUGUACUUUCCCCAAAUUGCCCAUCUCUUCUUCCACAGGAGGUAGAUUCUUUUUCUCCUGGAGACUGGGACUAGUCACCAGCUGAAUUUAACUCCAGUACGGAGUCUCUGCAAAAGUUCCCUGUUAAUCCAUGGUAGUCUUCCUCCCUGGCAGCUCAUCUUAUGGCACAUGGGGACAGCCUGCUCCUGUACCUUUAAGACUUUCUUCUUGAGGAAUGUCCAGCCUUCCUGGUCCCCUUUACCCUUCUGAUCUGACUCUCAAGGAAUUCUCCCUACCAGUGUCCUGAUUCAAAGUAUACCUUCUGGAAGCCCUAAGUAACAGUCUUUCUGGCCUCUCUCCUGACUUCACCAAGGGUAGAGAGCUCUACCAUUCUGUGUUCAUUUUACCCAAGAUGGCUCCUGACCUCCACGUCUCCCACCAAUCCUUCUCUGUUUAUGAACAGCAGGUCUAGCAGGGCAGCUCCCCAGUAGGCUCUCUUGCCACCUAUGUCAGGAAUUUAUCUUCCACACAUUCUAGAAACCUCCUAAGUUGCUUCUUAUGCAGUAUAUAGUAUUUCCAGUAUAUAUCGGGGAAGCUGAAGUCCCCCAUGAGAACAAGGGCUAUCGAUCAUCCAACUUCUGCCAGCUUCUUAUAAAAUACAUCGUUCAUCUCUUCUUUCCAGUUAGGAUGUUUAUAACAGACCUCCACUAGGAUGUCAGUCUUUUGGCCUUCCCCUUGAUCCUUACCAAUAGAGACACAACCUUACUUACUAUUCCCAGCCCCAAGCUCAGCACUCAAAACACUCUAACAAAGAAGAACCAUUGCCUCUCCUUCCUUGCCUAUCCCUUCUGAAGAGGUUGUAGCCAUCCAUUGCAGCACUCCAGUUGUGGGAAUAAUUCUACCAUGUUUCAGUAAUGGCAACUAACCCAUAAUUUGCCUGUUGCGAGAUGGCUUCAAGCUCCUUCUGUUUGCUACCAUGUUGUGUGCAUUGGUGUAUAUACACUUCAGCUGAGCCAUGUGUCUCACUUCUACUUUAUUAUUUAGAAACUUCUUGAUCUGAGCUACAGGAACUAGUUCCGGGACCAGUUACAGCAAGGAUAGGUUUUUUUGUUUAUCUUCAUAGAAGCCAAAUUUGAGCCAGGGAUAUAAACAUCUUUGUUCAUAUGAUACCAUGUGAGUGUACCUACCAUUUUUCUGGACGCACUCUGUACAUCUAAAAUUUCAACUGUGCACACAACUUUGGUUUGCAAUAAGCAGUUUUAAAUGCUGUGGGCAGGUAUCAAUCAUAUUCACUUCCAGACAAAUGUCAGAGGAACUUGACUCUUUUCAGUGGACAGCUUUGUUAUGCGUUUCCUUCGGAUUUAUUUUCACAGGUUCUCUUGGGAGUAAUUUUUUCAUAAAGUAACUUUCACACACUUGUAGGGGGCAAAAUUGCUGCUAAUUAUUGUAAUUGUAUGUUUCAAUCCAUUCUGAAGAAUCAGAAAAUAAUCGUAUAUGAAAACUGAUCUGAAGACAGGUCCCCUAGCUUGUUAAUUUGCUGUUCUACUAAAUAACUGUUUUGUGUUCCUCCUGAUGUUUACACAGAUUUGUCUGAUUCACAGCCUCACUUAGAGCUUAUUUGAAGUGUGUCCUACUAACAUGUCAGAAUGAAAAACUAAUAGUAUAAUUCCAUAUUGUGGUGGUAGUAAUUCAAAUGUUAUUUACAUUUUCAUUUGUGUAUGCAGAUAUUGUUUUAGCAAUAAUUAAAAAUAAACUGUGAAUUUCUGCUUUAGGGACUGAAUUUAUAAAUAUAAACAUGAAAAUACUGAAGACCUUCAAAAAGUGUACCUAUUCUAAUGUCGAAGGAUUUCAAAGGGAAAAUUCUUAGUUUAAGAUUAAUAUUCUCUUAAGAAUUCUGUAAAAUAAACCAAUUAUUUACAUUUAAAUACCGGAUAAAAGCACAGAUAUCAUCAGCUGUGAAGCAGAAUUAAAGUGAUUUCAAGAAUAUCUUUACUAAAUUGUUGUAACAGUGCAUAUGUUUUGUUGACUUAAACUAUACCUUCCAAGAAUAUGAAUAUGUUAUAAUUAGCUUGCUUUGGUGUAAAUGGAAAUGUACAUUGUCAUUAUAUGUCUAUGAACUUGGUUAUAUUUUGUUACGUUAUAAAUGGUUAUAUUUUACUAGGUCACAUAAUUAAUACUAUACAAAGAAGGAGAGAGUGAACACAGUAAGUCAGUUAUUUAUUUCAGUACCUGUAAGUAAGAUACCAGAGGCGUAUUUAAGUUUGCUAAUUCUACCAAAUAAAGAAACUCAACAAACUGAAAUUAAAAUUUGGUGUAAUGUUUAAUAUCUGUUCAGAUUUAGACUUUUAGACAUAUAUGAGUUAAUAGUCAAAUUAACUAACUAAACAUAGAAUUACUUUUUAUAAAUCUUUAUUUUUUAUUACCAAAGUUAAAAUUAGAACUAUCCCUUUGUUCUGUCUAAAACAAAAACAAAAACAAAAAACAAACAAACCCAAAAAAACCCUCAAAAAUCUACACCUACUGAUAUUCCCGUAUGCCCAUCUAUUUUUCCAUACAAAAAAGGGACAUUCUCUUUGUAAACAACUCAUCCUGGAAAAAUUUUAAAAUCUUUGAGUAACUAUAAAAAUCCAAAAGCUGUAAUAACCAUCUCUGUAUUUUCUGUGAGCUAAACAACUGUUAUGGUGUUGAAAAUAAGAACCAGGAAAUCCACGGGAUAUUGCUAAAGAAAGAGUACAUAUGAAAACAGCAUAGGUUUGUGUGCAACAGAAGCCUGGUGGUGGGUCAGGAACAGUGUGAAGUGCUGGUGUGUCUGCUUUUCAUGCUUUUAGUUGAAAGAAAUAUAUAUAUAACUCUUGAAAUUACUUGCAUAUUGAGAUGUUUUCAGAUGUCUUUAAUUGCUCACAAGAUGUCAAAAAAACAUAGUAGGCAUUAUUAUCACAAACAAAAGUAAAUUACCUCUGCAGUGGCAAAACCUAGAAUAUUUUUAUUUUCUUUCAAAUUUUUUUUCAAUAAAAUUCACUGAUUUCUAGUCAUUGUUAUUUUAAUGUUUGUACAAUUUCAUUACAACUCAACUGUCUGUCUGAUCCCACCAGUCUGCUUUAUCAAACCAUACAACUGGAAAAUUUACAUAAUUGCAAACACUGAAAUAUUCCUAUGACUAGAAGUAUUUCUAAACAGUAUUUCUAUUUUGAUUUUGAACUUCAUCUCAGUUUGUACAAUCUUCCUUACACUUCCUCUAAAAAAUUGUUAUUUUUCCUUUUUGAAAAUUUAACUAAAAGCUUCUUUAUGACACUCCUGAGAGAUAUUUCAAAUACCAAUCAAAAGAAAGGAAGAAUGAAAGAAAGAAAAAAAGAAGAACAAGUUAUUUCCUACUGAUUGUAUUUGCAAUGGUACUGCAGGCUAUCCAUUUUCAAGUUACAGUCACCUCUCACUGAGGGAGAUUUGGUAGAUUAAGCUAAAUGAAAAUUGUAUAAAUUAUUAUGAAAUUAUUUAAGAUUUUUGACGUCACCAUUAAUCGGUUGAUUCUUUGAGGUAGGUAACUCAUUAAUGAAAUAUUUUAUUUCUGUCUUCUUAACUAUUUGAUCCACUCCACUGUCCUUUUGUGAUAAGAAUAUUUUACUACUACAGCUGUAUAUAGUAAUUGCUGUUAAAUUCAAUGAUUUCUGCUAUUUUAUAUUCUUUUUCGAUAAUAAUAAAAAUAACAGAAAAAAAUUAAUGACAUUUUAAAAAUAGCUUUUCAAGAAGAUGUACUGCUAAAUGUAGCAGUAUAUUACUGAAUGUUUCUGUUCCUAGUUAAAUUUUGUAUAAAUUAUCCUAGAUGAAUAAUUGUAUACAGUAGCAUAACUUCAAC